AGCGAGCCUGGAGGGAAGGGAAGGCUGAGGUCUCCUCUGCCUCCGCAGCCACACGGCCCGGCGCGGGGCGGGCCGGCAGUAAACCUAAGAAGGCUUUAUUCAUUUCCUGGAAACGUUUCCUGGAAGCCUGGCAUGUGCUAACGAUACAACAUUGAACAAUACAAAGGUCCCUGACACGGAGCUUACGUUGCGUCCACCAGGUAGACAGGACACAUACAAGAUAUGAAGCAUAGUACAUGUUUAAUCUGGAUGAGAAGAGGAGAAAAAUAAAACAAGGAGGGAGAGGCGACCUGUCAGGGGCCAGGGUGGGGUGAGUGGAAGAAACGGUGUCCCUGACAAGGUGCCUGGUGGCCUCACCCGGAGGAAAGCACGGUGCAGAGGAAACGGUUCAGUCUGGUGCUUGAAGCCCCAGGACCCCCGAGAGAGCCGGACCUGGACGAGCAUGAAGUCCCGCAGGAGGAAGGCGGCCCAGAGCCUUGGAAAAUCCAUCUGUGCUGAGCCUGGGCUGGGCUGCUUCACUGGGGCCUCCGGGGGCAGGAUCAGCCCUGGAAAGGGCACUUUUAAACCACGUGUGCAGAUGCCCACCAAGGGAACAAGGUCAGAAGGAGCCAUGGCUCCAGAAGGGGUGCCGAUGACGUGGCCCCCGGGGUUGGAGAUGCACACCCCGCCACUGCCUGUGCUCCAGGGCAGAGGCACCUGCCCCCUAGCCAGACUUGCUUCGGAGAUGGGUCGUCUCCAAGGCGCUGCCUGGAGACAAAUGUGCCCCAGAGCCCAGCAAGGGCUGUAAACAAGCCGUUGUUACACGAUAUUGCCCGUGUGUAGGAAGGGCAUCGCUUCUUUCCCUCAGUACAGUGGACACACCUGGCUCUAGCGGGCACACGCGGCCAACCUCAAGGCAGUGCUCUCUGGUUUGCCACAGUCUCACAUUUGUCUGCCCAGACACGUAACUGGGACCUCAAGGGCCUUCUGUCAGCCUUGCCCUGGGAUAUCUCCUCCGUGUGGACAGGGUGCUUCACUUGGACUCACUGGAUGGGACUUGAACACCUGCAGAGUUAAAGCUGAAACACUACCUGGGUCAUUUUGGCCAGAGUGUGCACAGACCCGCAAGCACCCGAGGCUCCUGCUGCUGCGCACGCUUCCUGCCAACGUUCCCUUGCCCGAAGCUCCCUCCUCUCCCGGCUCCACCCAUCACACUACUGAAUCCCGAUACAACACGUGCUGCUCCAUCCUGCCUGUCCACACCUCUUUCCUGUGACUCUCCUCCCUCCCGGGAGUGCGCACGUCUUCAUUCGUCCAUCCCCUCCUGACAUGAGAAAUGCCAUCCUCUGUGGGCCUGAGAACCUUGGUGCCCGCAACAUCUGAUCUCCUUAGAGUGCUAGAACAGAGCCGCCUGCCCAGGACCCUCAGGCCAGCAGCACCCUGCCCGCCUCUGCCUGCCAAGGAGGGACCAUGGCCUGGGUGGUUAAGGGAGUGGGACCCUGGCUUGCCUCAUGUCCACUCCUGCCAAUGGCCACUCCCCUUUCAGAGGAAACCAACUCUACAACCAGUUAACAGACUAGGAAUUUAAACCACAGCCACUUCCCCAAUUGCAGAAACAUUACUUCACCUCUCAGAGUAAUGGACCAGCAAUGCUGAAGACGCCUUUAAAAAAAUGCCAGUCUCACUGCGCCCUCUCCUCCAACCUCCCCUUUCAUAGAAGAGGUUGCCAAAGUCUAGGGAGAGUACUAGGACUUGAAGGAGGUUCCUUGUUAGUUCAAGGAACCAAACUCUGGUCCUGACUUGGGUCCUGCAAUAUUUUUAUUAUGCCAGGCGAAAUCCAAUUCCCAGUUCUGACUACGGUAUCCAGCAACAACUAAGUCAUUCUAUGUCCUGGUGCAAGUCAUUGGAAGACCCUGAGGCUCAAAUCAUCUGUCAUAUGAGGCUGCCACCUCGUGUUCUGUCUCCCAUGUCCCUGCGAAGUUGUUGUUUGUUGUUUGUUUUUGUUUUGUUUUGUUUUUUGAGAUGGAGACUCACUCUGUUGCCCAGGCUGGAGUGCAGUGAUGUGAUCUCGGCUUACUGUGACAUCCGCCUCCUGGGUUCAAACCAUUCUCCUGCCUCAGCCUCUCAAGUAACUGGGAUUACAGGCAUGCGCCACCAUACCCACCAGAUUUUUUUGUAUUUUUAGUGGAGAUAGGGUUUCACAAUGUUGGCCAUGCUGGUCUCGAACUCCUGACCUCAGAUGAUUCACCCGCCUCAGCCUCCCAAGGUGUUGGGAUUACAGAUGUGAGCCACCACACCAGGCCGGUGAAGUUGUGUUGAGAUAAUACCUGUGAAAGUUAUCUAGAGGUAAAACCACUAUAAAAAUAAAAUAGAAAAGUAACAAUAAGCCAUGAAAACUGGUGCGAAGGAAUCCCUGAGUUCUGACUCUUUCCCUGUUGCUCCCUUAUGGCAUAACGUGCUUAAGUUUGCAGAGCACUUCCAUACUCAGCCACACAUUCUCACAACAAUCUUUUGAAGAUGUGUGAUUAGUGCCAUUUUCCAGAUGAAGAAACUGAGGCUCUAGGAGAUGAAGUCACUGUCAUUUGCUCGGAGAUCUGCAGUGAGUAAAGGGUGUGGCUUGGAUUUGAAUAGGGUCUUCCAAAUCCAGACUCCAGGCUCCUCCCACUGCCAAUCACUCUUCAAUAUGAAAGCAGCCACUGGCACUACUCAGCGUGCUAGAACAGAGAAUAUUCGCUCUGUGGGACUCCUCUGGGGGUUGAAAUGAGGAACUUCUGAAUCAGGGAGCUCAUGCUCAACCCUGGCUGAAUCCUUGAGAGGACUCAGGGCAAGCAGAACAUCAACUCCUCCUUCAAGGGGAACAAACCAUAGGCUGAAGGGAACUUUAGAGCUGCACUAGCCUGGCUUUCUUAUUUUACCAAGGCAUAAGCACAUCCAAUGGGAGAAGAUGUCUUCACUCAGUGGCAUAAAACACUUCCUGAUGCCCAAAGUCCACCUGGGCAAAGUGGCCAGGUGGAUGAAGUUAGUGUCUUGAAGCUUCUUGUUGCCUCUUUCACUGGCCCUUCCUAUGCCAUCGCCUCUCCCCCCAGGAUCAGGGAUGUCAUCCCUCAACCCUGACAUGGCUCAUGCCCAGGUCUGCCUACUCCCACAGUAAAAUGCUGUCCAACCUCCCUUUCAAAAUUACCUCCGCUGGGGAAAAUGCUUAUCAUAUAUUUGUGCAAAGUUUUAGCAAGGCAGCCCCAUGGUAUCUAGGGAGGUCUGAAGGAUGGUUAUCUUUGGGGGCGCAGUUAUGGAUCAUUGCUAUUUUCUUCUCUAUACUUGAAGUAUUUUCAUGUUUUAUUUUAAAUUUUAACAAUAAUAAUGCAUUUAUUUAUAUGCUUCUUUUUAGGCCUCUUCUCAGCACACUGUUCCAACCAAAAUUGAUCUAAUAAACGUAUUUAUUUUAAAGCAGCAAAGA
rnacentral:lncRNA from 1 species